rnacentral:rRNA from 1 species
UGAAUACGAGAUGCUACGGCGUCGAAGCAGUCUAUGUCAUACUUCCAAGAAAAGCUUGCACUGUCAUAAACAAAUAAUGCCUGUACCAUAACCGACACAGGUGGGUAGGUAUAGUAUACUAAGGGGCGCGAGAUAACUCUCUCUAAGGAACUCGGCAAAAUGACUCCGUAACUUCGGGAGAAGGAGUGCCUUAUUUAUAAGGUUGCAAUAACAAGAUCCAAGCAACUGUUUACCAAAAACACAGGUCUCCGCUAAGUCGUAAGACGAUGUAUGGGGGCUGACGCCUGCCCAGUGCCAGAAGGUUAAAGAAGUUGGUUAGCAUCCGCGAAGCUGAUAACUGAAGCCCUGGUGAACGGCGGCCGUAACGAUAACGGUCCUAAGGUAGCGAAAUUCCUUGUCGGGUAAGUUCCGACCCGCACGAAAGGCGUAAUGAUUUGGAUACUGUCUCGGAGAGGGGCUCGGUGAAAUAGACUUGUCUGUGAAGAUGCGGACUACCUGCACCAGGACAGAAAGACCCUAUGAAGCUUUACUGUAACCUGAAAUUGAAAUUGGACUUUACUUGCGCAGUAUAGGUGGGAGGCGUUGAGAAUAUUCUUGCGGGAUUAUUGGAGCCAUCAGUGAGAUACCACUCUUGUAAUGUUAGAUUUCUAACUUUGUAUCAUUAUCUGGUCAAAGAACAGUUUCAGGCGGGCAGUUUGACUGGGGCGGUCGCCUCCUAAACGGUAACGGAGGCGCACAAAGGUUUCCUCUGAACGGGUAGAAAUCGUAUCUAGAGUGUAAAGGCAUAAGGAAGCUUGACUGUGAGACCUACAAGUCGAGCAGGGACGAAAGUCGGUCUUAGUGAUCUGACGGUGCUGAGUGGAAAGGCCGUCACUCAACGGAUAAAAGUUACUCUAGGAUAACAGGCUGAUCUCCCCCAAGAGUUCACAUCGACGGGGAGGUUUGGCACCUCGAUGUCGGCUCAUCGCAUCCUGGGGCGGUAGUACGUCCCAAGGGUUGGGCUGUUCGCCCAUGAAAGCGGUACGCGAGCUGGGUUCAGAACGUCGUGAGACAGUUCGGUCCAUAUCCGGUGUAGGCGUUAGAAUAUUGAGAGGAGCCUUCUUUAGUACGAGAGGACCGAGAAGGACAUACCUCUGGUGUACCAGUUAUCGUGCCAACGGUAAACGCUGGGUAGCUAUGUGUGGAGUGGAUAACCGCUGAAAGCAUCUAAGUGGGAAGCCCACCUCAAGAUAAGUA